rnacentral:rRNA from 1 species
UGGGGAAUAUUGGGCAAUGGGGGCAACCCUGACCCAGCGACGCCGCGUGGGUGAAGAAAUCCCUCGGGAUGUAAAGCCCUGUUGUAUGGGAAGAGCAGAAGACGGUACCAUACGAGGAAGCCCCGGCAAACUACGUGCCAGCAGCCGCGGUAAUACGUAGGGGGCGAGCGUUGUCCGGAAUUACUGGGCGUAAAGCGCACGCAGGCUGAAUUAUAAGUCGGUAGUCAAAGGCGGAGGCUCAACCUUCGUUUAUCUAUCGAUACUGUAAAUCUAGAGUAUGUGAGAGGGAAGCGGAAUUCCCGGUGUAGCGGUGAAAUGCGUAGAUAUCUGGAGGAACAUCGGUGGCGAAAGCGGCUUACUGGCGCGAUACUGACGCUGAGGCUCGAAAGCGUGGGGAGCGAACG